AAGUUAUAAUGUGGUAAAAAGGAAUAGUAUUUUUUUUUAUUGAAUUCAAAAUAGAAUUGAUCCUUAGAAGGUAUAAUUUCGAUUUUUAUUUGUUUCAUAAAUGAAUACGAUAAGAUACAAGGCACAGGUAAUCCGUCGAUGACAACAAACAAUUUCUUCCACGAAAAACCUUUUAUUUGAAUUCUUAAUUUAAUUUUUGUAAAUGGCUCUAUUUUGUUUCCGCUAAUUGUAAUUAUAGUAUUUUUUGAAUUAAAAUCACAAUUUUUUAUUUUAAUGGUUUGUAUUAUGCGUUUAAAUAAAGAUAAACUUAUAGAAUUAAUUGUUGCACCAGAAUCAAAUAAGGCAAUAGCAUCGAUUUGGUUUAUUUUAACUUUUGUAAAUCCCAAAAAAUUGUUAAUAUGGUCGUCUUUAAAAUAAUUUGAAAAGUUUUCAGAAAUCCCUCUGAUGCCCCCCAACGUUACUAGUUUUUUUUAUUAUAAAAAUCUGGUACACCGUUAUUGCUAAUAGAUUCCUGAUAUUCCGGAGUAACACCCAUCAACCCAUAUUCCUUUUGAGGUGUAAAUAAUUUAUAUUUGUUUUUGUUGUAAUAUUCCUGCGAAUUGUUUUUGUUAUUAUUAUGUUUAUGAUAGUUAUCGUGAUGGUUGAAUUUAUUUCUGUUUUCAUUAAAUCUCGCCUUAUUAUAAGAAUAAUUUGGUGUUUUUGAAAAUUGAACUGGACUAACGUUUACAUAAUUGCCUGUAUUUUUUUGAUUUGAGUAAUUUCUGUUGUAAUAAUUUCUUUGCUCUGAAGGACUAUAUCGAUUUUGAUUACUAUUCGAAUUUGGAUUGUAAUGAUAAAAAUUUUUUUAUCCUCUAUUUUGUGGUACAUUUUGUUUAAAAUUUCCCUGAUGAUUAAAUUCAUGCUUAUUGAAAUUGUAAUUUCUAUUUUGAUUAAUCUGAAUUCGUUGUAAUUGGGUUGCCUAUUGCAUUUAAAUUGUCUUGGGAAAAUCUGAUCUGGAUUUGGCACGUUUGCGCAUGCAGAUCCUCCAGUAAAUUGUACUGAAAAGUUCGGAAUUUCUAAGUCCUAUCUGGGUUUUUUGCAAUAGGAAUAUUUUGUUCCAUAGUGCGAUUUGCUAAGAUCAUUUCUAGAGCCCUAAGGAAGGUGAAAUAAAACGCCAAAAGUUGGCCAUAGUUUCAACAUACAACAUUCAUUGGACCACAUCCCUUCCCACCAAAUAUAUUGACAAUAAUUUACAGUACAGUUUUAAUAAUUUCCUUGAUGAAAAAAAGUUUUGUUUCCAGUGUAUCUCAUAAGUAAUAUUAUUAGCAUACAAACCUAUUUAAUAUAAUUAUGAGAUAUUGUUUGUAUUAUGGGAUAUUGUUAGUAAGGUUUUAUCUAUGAACCCAAAUCAAAAUAUAGUUUUUUUCAGGCAAUUGACCAUCAAUUUAAAAUAAAAAAUGGCCUCUACUGAUAUCCAAAAUAGAGCAGAAUCUGGGACAGAGGAUUCAAAAUUGAAAGCCACAGUUGAAGGUGUUCUAAAUGGAGAGAGCCCAAAGGAAAAUGGUGAUAAGGAAUUGAGUAAUGGAACUGAAUCUACUAUAAGUAAAGAAAAAGAUGAAAUAGUAAGUCAAAAAGAUGUGCAGACUGAUGGCGAAUUAGUGAAUGGAAGGAAAUAUGAAGAAAGAGAAUCUAUAGAGACAGAAGAAAAUAUUGAUGUAGUUGGUGACGAUGAUGAAUUGGUUGAACUGGAGAAAGAGAAAGAGGUAAAGGAAUCUGAUAAAGUCGAUAAAACAAGAAUUGUGCAAGUCCUGCUUGAAGAAUCAAGAGAGAGCCCCACAUCAAAAGCACAAUUGUCUGAAAAGUUGAAUGACUCUUUUUGUAAGGAGGAAAACAACACAAAAAUGACAAAUGAAAUAAUAACCCCUGACUUCACUAGGAGUAAGUAUGGUGCUGGUUUUAAAAUGAGUGGGAGGAGGCCAUUGAGGGGUAUUGUUUCUCCACACCCAGCAUCAAAAAGAAAAGCGAGUUAUAGUAUUAAUGACUCACCUAAUAAAAAGAAAAUUAAAGAAUCUACGUCUUCAGAAGGCUCCAGAUGGAAUUAUUUUUCUUCUCCUUUUCGAUUUUGGAAUUAUAAAGAAAACUGUACAUCUACAAAUAGUCAACAGGUGUCACCCAAUGAUUCAAUGGUUGUUAACGUAGAUGAUUUGUCGAUGAUUAACAAUAGAAUAGAUGAUUCUCAAUUUGAAAAUGACUGGCCAGAAGGAAACAAACCAUUUUGGAAAAUGUGUAAUAUAAUGUGAACUACACUUUAUUUCUGCCAUAUGUAUGUCAUCAAUUAAAAAAGUGGAUUGAAAAAAGUAAGGCAUGUCCUGAAAAUAUUGUGUUGCUCUAUUACAUACAAAAUUUUUAGUAUGAUUGUAAAUACUAUGACAGUUUCUAUUUGGAUUUGGAAACAAAUUGCAAUAAAAAAGACAAGUUUUUUGUAAUUCUUAUUAAGUUACUUAACUUGUAGACAAACAUGAAUUAUUUUUUCUUUAUUUUGUAAAAUAUUAGUAUUAGAUGCAAUUUAUGACAAAUAUUGCUGUUGUAAUAAAAGUUUUAGUACAUGUGUAAAUUAAUGUUAAAAAUGAAAUGACCUUUCAAUCAUCACUUCUUAGACCCCUUGAUAUGACUCAGCAGUCUGAACUUUACUUCUCGGCCAAGUCACAAUUGCCUAGCUGAACAAAUUAAAACUGUAUAUAAACAAAAACAACACAUUUACUUAUAAAUACAAUCAAAUGUUAUUUAAUCUAAUGGCCACAAAACCAAAAAACAAAUUAAAUAAAAAUAUGACUACAUAGUCCUAAAAUAAAGAGUAAUAUGCAAAACUUGUAAGUCAUACAAAGAGCCACUUGUUUAUGUGGAAGCUGCUACCACAUUUGAGAAGGUUCAGCUGCAGAAUUUAAUGUAAGUUUCCCUUUAUCAUUUUAACACCAGUUCACCGAGCGAAUGUCUCCCAUCAUUCAUCUGUUCUCAGCAAAUGGGCCCAACAAUGUUCAUGUGGCUUUUUGAAAGUGAACACGGACUCUCACCCUUGUCCAGCUUUUCAAAACUUCCAGAUUAUCAUGUAUAUAUCUUAUAUUAUUUGAUCCAGUGUGUAAAUACUUCUGAAUUUGGAAAUAAGUCAGUUAAUCUGAACAGGGCUUGGUUCCAAUUAGAUCAGAUUAGUGAGACUACUGUAAUGGGUAAGAGUUGAGAUACAAAUUUUUAUAGUAAUUUAUUUUUUAUGGCUUUGUGUUAAUACUGAUUCCAAAUCAAAUCGAAUCUAUAACCAGUGUCUUAUGAUAAUAUUUGGUGGAUUUAAGUUGACAAUUCUGAAACAAACUGUAAUAUUUAUUCAUUUGUAUAUAUUUUUUGCCAUGUUGCAACACAGGAACAAUUGUGAUCCACAAACAGUGAUUUGACAUCCAAAGUUUUGUUGUUCAUGUUUAGACUUCUGUUCAAGUUAUGAGGCAUUUCUUUUCAGUUGAAACAUGACUUCAAAUGUGUGGCCACUCACUUGACCGUUUCCUCAACUUUUACCCAUUGCAUGUUUUAUUUAUAGCAGUAAAAAAUAAAACAGUCCAAGUAGAUUUACUGUGUAAUGCUAAAAUUACUGGAUUAAAUUAAGAAAAAAAUUAAAAAUGGGAGAAAAUGAUUUAGUUCUGUUGUCAAAUAAAUGUAAAUGACUGGAUUGAAAAUCCAGACGUUUGCCUUUUGCCACAGAUUAACAGGCUAUCUAGAUUAUCCAAUACUGUGCAAUGGAUUUGAAAUAUGAAAACUAUUCUAUAUUCUUUUUGUAAAGUAUUUAGUAAUUGUGACAUUUUUUAAUUUGUAGUGGAAACUGUUUGGUUUUAUUUACUUAUUAGAACAACCAGGAAAGCGGCUGGUAUGUAUUAAGUUUAUUUUUACUGAGGAUUAUAUUGAAAAUGUAAU